rnacentral:rRNA from 1 species
AACCCGACUCCGUGAAGCUGGAUUCGCUAGUAAUCGCGCAUCAGCCAUGGCGCGGUGAAUACGUUCCCGGGCCUUGUACACACCGCCCGUCAAGCCAUGGGAGCCGGGGGUGCUUGAAGUGCGUCGCCGCGAGGCGCGCCCUAGAGCAAAACCGGUGACUGGGGCUAAGUCGUAACAAGGUACC